GCUGGGCAUGGUGGCGCGUGCCUGUAGUCCCAGCUCAGGAGGCUGGGGUGGGAGGGUCACUUGAGCCCAGGAGUUCUGGGCUGUAGUGCGCUAUGCUGAUCGGGUGUCCACACUAAGUUUGGCAUCAAUAUGGUGACCUCCCGGUUGUGGGGGACCACCAGGUUGCCUAAGGAGGGGUGAACCAGCCCAGGUCAGAGACAGAGCUGGUCAGAACUCCCAUGCUGAUCAGUAGUUGGAUUGCACCUGUGAAUAGCCACUGCACUCCAGCCUGGGCAAUGUAGCGCGACCCUGUCUCU
rnacentral:SRP_RNA from 1 species